rnacentral:rRNA from 1 species
UACAGAGGGGGCAAGCGUUGUUCGGAAUUACUGGGCGUAAAGGGCGCGUAGGCGGCCUGUUAAGUCGAACGUGAAAUCCCCGGGCUCAACCCGGGAACUGCGUCCGAUACUGGCAGGCUUGAAUCCGGGAGAGGGAUGCGGAAUUCCUGGUGUAGCGGUGAAAUGCGCAGAUAUCAGGAGGAACACCGGUGGCGAAGGCGGUGAUCUGGGCCGGCACUGACGCUGAGGAGCGAAAGCGUGGGUAGCAAACAGG